AGUAACGGCGAGUGAAGCGGCAACAGCUCAAAUUUGAAAUCUGGCCUCUUUGGGGUCCGAGUUGUAAUUUGUAGAGGAUGUUUCGGGUACCGCCUCGGUUUAAAUUUCUUGGAACAGAAUGUCAAAGAGGGUGAGAAU
rnacentral:rRNA from 1 species